rnacentral:misc_RNA from 1 species
GAUGAAGAACGCAGCGAAAUGCGAUACGUAAUGUGAAUUGCAGAAUUCAGUGAAUCAUCGAGUCUUUGAACGCACAUUGCGCCCCCUGGUAUUCCGGGGGGCAUGCCUGUCCGAGCGUCAUUGCAACCUUCAAGCGCGGCUUGUGUGUUGGGUCUCGUCCCCCGUGGACGGGCCCGAAAGGCAGUGGCGGCGUCCCGACAUGGUGCCCGAGCGUAUGGGAAUCCUCUUCCGCUCGAAUCGGCCCAUGCGGCGCUGGUCGUAACCAAAUUUUUUACCGGUUGACCUCGGAUCAGGUAGGGAUACCCGCUGAACUUAAGCAUAUCAAUAAGCGGAGGA